rnacentral:tRNA from 1 species
ACCUGGGUGGCUCAGUCGGUUGGGCGUCUGACUUCGGCUCAGGUCAUGAUCUCACAGUUUGUGGGUUCUAGACCCGCUUCAGGCU